rnacentral:rRNA from 1 species
UACGUAGGGGGCUAGCGUUGUCCGGAAUCAUUGGGCGUAAAGCGCGUGUAGGCGGUCCGGUAAGUCCGCUGUGAAAGUCGGGGGCUCAACCCUCGGAUGCCGGUGGAUACUGUCGGGCUUGAGUACGGAAGAGGCGAGUGGAAUUCCCGGUGUAGCGGUGAAAUGCGCAGAUAUCGGGAGGAACACCUAUGGCGAAGGCAGCUCGCUGGGACGUUACUGACGCUGAGACGCGAAAGCGUGGGGAGCAAA